AGGGCACCACCAGGAGUGGAGCCUGCGGCUUAAUUUGACUCAACACGGGAAAGCUUACCCGGCCCGGACACUGGAAGGAUUGACAGAUUGAGAGCUCUUUCUUGAUUCAGUGGGUGGUGGUGCAUGGCCGUUCUUAGUUGGUGGAGCGAUUUGUCUGGUUAAUUCCGAUAACGAACGAGACUCUAGCCUACUAAAUAGACCAGAGGCUUCUUAAAACACGUCUCUGGCUGCUUCUUAGAGGGACAGGCGGCGAUUCAGCCGCACGAAACAGAGCAAUAACAGGUCUGUGAUGCCCUUAGAUGUCCGGGGCCGCACGCGCGCUACACUGAAGUGAUCAGCGUGCUUUUUGUACCCUGCUCUGCCAAGAGUGGGUAACCCAAUGAACCUUCUUCGUGAUUGGGAUAGGGGAUUGUAAUUAUUCCCCUUGAACGAGGAAUUCCCAGUAAGCGCGAGUCAUAAGCUCGCGUUGAUUACGUCCCUGCCCUUUGUACACACCGCCCGUCGCUACUACCGAUUGAA
rnacentral:rRNA from 1 species